AUUCCAUGUUGUGGGCAUUUUCUCAGCAUAUCCUUGUACCUCUCUCAUGUAUCAUAUAAGGAUUCAGACUCCAUUUGAUGGAAAGAGGAGAUAUUACUCCUCAACUU